AAUUCAAUUCCCCCAUUUCCCCACCAGGCCAUCCUCUUCCCUCACGUCUUUAGAAAUGGAGAAGAAAGGCGUACUAAUGUCAUACCCAAUGUCCUCCUACUUAGAACACGAACUCAGUUCCCGCUUCACCCUCUUCAAAAUCUGGGAACACCCCUUUUCAGACCCUCAAUUCCUCAAACAAAACUCCAAUUCAAUCCACGCACUUGUGAGCAAUGCAGCGCACGGUGCAAACGCUGAAUUGAUCGAUUCCUUCACCGAAUUAGAGAUAAUCGCAAGUUACAGUGUUGGGGUUGAUAAAAUUGAUCUGGGAAAAUGCAAGGAGAGAAAAAUUAAGGUUACAAACACCCCUGAUGUUCUCACUGAUGAUGUUGCUGAUUUGGCUGUUGGGUUGAUUUUGGGUACCCUAAGAAGGGUUUGUGUUGCUGAUGCUUUUGUUAGAACUGGGGGUUGGGUCAAUUCUGAGUUUCCUUUGUCUACUAAGUUCACUGGUAAAUCAGUAGGAAUUCUUGGAUUGGGAAGGAUUGGUUAUGCUAUUGCAAAGAGAGUGGAAGCAUUUGGAUGCCAUGUUAGUUACUGCUCCAGAUCUGAGAAACCUAAUAUCCAGUACAAAUAUUAUGACAAGGUCAUCGACUUGGCGGCUAACUGUGAAAUCCUUGUUGUUUCAUGUUCCCUUACUGAAGAAACCCGUCAUAUUAUUAACCGUGAGGUGAUUAAUGCACUGGGUUCAAAGAGUAUUCUCAUAAACAUUGGAAGAGGUGCUCAUAUCGUUGAAUCUGAGCUCGUAUCUGCUCUUCUCGAAGGUAGAUUAGGUGGUGCAGGGCUUGAUGUUUUUGAGAAUGAGCCACACGUUCCUGAAGAACUGUUGAAGCUUGAUAAUGUGGUGAUGAUGUCUCAUGUAGGAAGUGAUACUGUCGAAACUUGCAAGGCUAUGGCUGAUCUGGUGAUCAGAAAUUUAGAGGCACACUUCUUGAAGAAGCCAUUGUUGACUCCAGUUAUAUAACAUCUUCUGAAGCCAUGGUUUCCUUUUCUCCCAAAACAUCCUGCUCUCCCGAGAUCAUGUGCAGCUGUGCAGUUCAGGACUUCAUCAGGGGGUCCUUCAACGCCUUGUUGCCAAAUAUUAAAGAUGGCCGUGGGCCGGGCCCACUCCAGGUCCACUCUCUAUCGGGUCGGUUCGGGCUGAAAAGUUCAAAAUAGGCCCAUAGCCACGGGCUGUCGUGCCGGGUUGGACCGUCGUGUCUAGGCUUAAUUUUUACUAAAUUUAACGUGCUUGUCGUGCUUUUCCCAAAAAUACGACACAGCCCACAAUUUCGUGCUUGUGGCGGGCCGUGCUUUUUUUUGUGCCUGUGCCGGGCUGGAUUUUUUCGUGUCGGGUCGGGCCUCGAGCUGGCUGGCCGGCCCACUGCCAUCUUUACUAGUUAUUGCUUGUGCUUAAUCCCCUAUUACCAACAUACAUUGGCUUAAUCAGUCUCUUUCUAUGCUCCCCCUUUGGUACUCUGGUCGUGAUUCUAAUCUUUUCUGAUACAAACUAUUACUCUGUAUCAUACACUUCUUUGAUCAGUUUGGUAAUGGUUUUAUUUUACGAGUAUUUACACAAAAGUACAAAACAUGUCUCCCUUUACCUUUUUUUUAGGGAAAAGGUGAGCGGGCAUUAUAUUAAAUCAAAUUGAGUUCCGCCAAAGUUUGGAGGCUUUGGGGUAACGAGUUCAUACAAAUACGUUCCGAAUAUUUACCUACAAUCUCUAUCAAUAUUUUCAAGUGUAGUUUGAUUUUUGUUUACUUAUUGGUGUAAUGAUGGAGUUGAAUUGACUUGUUUAUUUAGAUUAGGCUCGAUAUAUAUUUCAGAAAUAUCAUUUUUUUAUAAGUUUACUAUAAGAUUAAAUUGGAUAUAAUAAUGGUCAAAGUCUUGAUCAAACCAGAGUUCAAGUACUUCGUACUUUGUAGUAUAAUAACAUCUU